rnacentral:tRNA from 1 species
GUCGUUGUAGUAUAGUGGUGAGUAUCCCCGCCUGUCACGCGGGAGACCCGGGUUCGAUCCUCGGCAACGGCG